rnacentral:tRNA from 1 species
GGAGAAGUGGCAGAGCUGGUUUAAUGCACCGGUCUUGAAAACCGACGUACCUUAACGGGUACCGGGGGUUCGAAUCCCUCCUUCUCCG